ACUAUCCUUUUCCUGGGGUAGUGCUACUGUCCAAUGAAUGAGUAGUGAGAGCAACACUGCUAAUGCCUACACAACACGCUCGCAUCAACUAGAGCUUUUCUUUACUUUGGUGCAAUUUCUGGAAAA
rnacentral:ncRNA from 1 species